UAAGCGGAGGAAAAGAAACCAACAGGGAUUGCCUCAGUAACGGCGAGUGAAGCGGCAACAGCUCAAAUUUGAAAUCUGGCCUUCUGGCCCGAGUUGUAAUUUGCAGAGGAUGUUUCUGGCGAGGUGCCUUCCGAGUUCCCUGGAACGGGACGCCAUAGAGGGUGAGAGCCCCGUACGGUUGGUCGCUGAGCCUCUGUGAAACUCCUUCGACGAGUCGAGUAGUUUGGGAAUGCUGCUCUAAAUGGGAGGUAUACGUCUUCUAAAGCUAAAUACCGGCUAGAGACCGAUAGCGCACAAGUAGAGUGAUCGAAAGAUGAAAAGCACUUUGAAAAGAGGGUUAAAUAGUACGUGAAAUUGUUGAAAGGGAAGCGCUCAUGACCAGACUUGGGCCGGUUGAUCAUCCGUCGUUCUCGGCGGUGCACUCUGCCGGCUCAGGCCAGCAUCAGCUUGGCCCGGGGGACAAAGGUUUCGGGAAUGUGGCUCCCCUCGGGGAGUGUUAUAGCCCGUUGCGUAAUACCCUGGGCUGGGCUGAGGUACGCGCUCCGCAAGGAUGCUGGCGUAAUGGUCAUCAGUGACCCGUCUUGAAACACGGACCAAGGAGUCGUCUUCGUAUGCGAGUGUUCGGGUGUCAAACCCCUACGCGGAAUGAAAGUGAACGUAGGAGAGAGCUUCGGCGCAUCUCCGACCGAUCCUGAUGUUCUCGGAUGGAUUUGAGUAAGAGCAUACGGGGCCGGACCCGAAAGAAGGUGAACUAUGCCUGUAUAGGGUGAAGCCAGAGGAAACUCUGGUGGAGGCUCGCAGCGGUUCUGACGUGCAAAUCGAUCGUCAAAUAUGGGCAUGGGGGCGAAAGACUAAUCGAACCUUCUAGUAGCUGGU
rnacentral:rRNA from 1 species